rnacentral:rRNA from 1 species
CGGGUGAGUAAUGUCUGGGAAACUGCCUGAUGGAGGGGGAUAACUGCUGGAAACGGUAGCUAAUACCGCAUAACGUCGCAAGACCAAAGAGGGGGACCUUCGGGCCUCUUGCCAUCGGAUGUGCCCAGAUGGGAUUAGCUAGUAGGUGGGGUAACGGCUCACCUAGGCGACGAUCCCUAGCUGGUCUGAGAGGAUGGCCAGCCACACUGGAACUGAGACACGGUCCAG